GCUGGGUUAGCUCACUUGGUUAAGGCGCUGCAUUUGAAGAGCAGUAGUGACUACCAAGGCGCGGGUUCGAUCCCCGGUCGUACCA